rnacentral:rRNA from 1 species
GUGUCAGCAGCCGCGGUAAUACGGAGGAUGCAAGCGUUAUCCGGAUUCAUUGGGUUUAAAGGGUGCGUAGGCGGAGUACUAAGUCAGCGAUGAAAUCCUGCAGCUUAACUGUAGAACUGUCAUUGAUACUGGUAUUCUUGAAUGCAGUUGAGGUAGGCGGAAUGUGUAAUGUAGCGGUGAAAUGCUUAGAUAUUACACAGAACACCGAUUGCGAAGGCAGCUUACUAAACUGUGAUUGACGCUGAGGCACGAAAGCGUGGGGAGCAAACAGGAUUAGAUACCCUGGUAGUCCACGCCGUAAACUAUGAUUACUCGCUGUUGGCGAUACAUUGUCAGCGGCUGAGCGAAAGCAUUAAGUAAUCCACCUGGGGAGUACGAUCGCAAGGUUGAAACUUAAAUGAAUUGACGGGG